GGAGAUUCAUCGUCAGGGUGUUUAGUAUUAGUGCAAGUAGUGAUAUGGUAUGUAAUCCUUGUGGUUAAUUUUACUAUACAUUCUUGUAUUAUUUGCUAAAUACGUCGGCGUGCACUUCUCCUCUAGUAGAACGUCGUGACCCGUUAGAUGUUGAUUUAUGGCCUAAAUGGUUGCCUUUGAUUAUUGCUUGCAAUUUUCGAAGACCUUUAGUGACCUGAUCAGCUGUUUGACGGUAUUCUCAUAGUAAUAAGCCGCAUUAUUGCGUUAAAUUCGUUACAAGUGCGGUUAUUCUUUGGCAGUGUGGAUCUAAUGCCAUCGCUGAAGCUAACCAACUGUUGGUAAACGGUACUCUUUAACUGGCUUUAUUUACUGGUCAACGACGCUACUGCUUUGGGUACUUUCAGGACCCGUCUUGAAACACGGACCAAGGAGUCUAACAUGUACGCAAGUCAUUGGGAUUUUUUAAAACAAACCUAAAGGCGUAAUGAAAGUAAAGAUUAUCUUAAGAUAAUUAAGGGAAGAUGAGUUACGUUACGAUGUAAUUUCGCAUUCCCGGGGC
rnacentral:rRNA from 1 species